AAGGACGGAAGUCGAAGUAUGAGCAUUGAUUUACUAGUAUUUUGUUAGAUUUUUAACACAUAUACACAAUAAAAUAUGAGUUCUUCAAGCAGUGAAAGCGAACGCAGUUCGGAUACUGAAAACUCAGAUAUGGCAAAUGAAAAUUUACUUUCAAAUUCCGGCGAUGAGGAUACAAUUGUGGCUAAUUCAGUGGUAAAUCCUUACGAAAAUGAACCUCUUGCGAACGCAGUCGGAGAGAAUUUUGUGUCGGUCGAAGAAGACGCAGAUGGCUUAGAACUUCGAACAUUGGAAGCGAGGUUCGAAGGAACCUUUCAGUUAGAUAAGUGGUAAGUUGAUAAAUGUUACUAGAACUCUAGAAGAAAUUAAACCAUGAAUUAAACAUGUUAUUUUGUCCUUAUGUCGUGGUGCAUAAAUAUGAUAACAAACCACUUUUUUAUAGGUGUGCAUGUAGCUUGGGUCGUACUCAACUGCUGACAGAUGCCAUUGAAUACCGUUGUUGUCAAUAGGUUGGGCCUACUUUACAUAAACUGGUAUUCGAUGUUAGCAUUGAAAAAAUUAGCUAUGUUACUCUUCACGACGAGUACACGAUUAUGACACAUGCUACAGUCUUGAAGAAUGUUGGAAGAAUGUUGGCUCACUUCUAAGAGACCAAGAUGGAAGGUCAUACAAGCGUAUGACCAAGAAUACAUGAAAAUGAAAUGCACUGGCCAUACCUAUUAUGCAUGGUAGCAUGAACAACUUACAUGUGGGAAACAAUGGUGUUGAAGAUAGUUGUUUCCUAUCCAAAUGCCGUUGGAUUGCCUCAGUUUUGGAAAUUCGAUCCGAGAAAGUUUUGUUUAAGGCUUCUGGGACUUUUUCCUUAUACUUCUUAAAUAUGUUGUCCAUGGAUUCCUCACAACUAAGAACCUUGACAUUUUUGAUUUCAUUAACAUAGUCUGGAAAAAUGACAAGUGGUUAGAUGUGUAAGUCAAGAGUACCAAUGCAUACAUGCUAAAUUUACAAUAUGAUGGUGCUGAAGAAACAGUUCUUACUACUUCAUCCCCUGAUUUAAAUUUUGGGAACAAGUAAAAAAGGCUUGGCAGAUAGAGAACAGUGAUUACAAGUUACCUGCAAUAUGUACCAAGCCAAGAAAAGUGGGUCAUCUUUGGAUGCCAACCAUUUAAUGUUGAAUGAAAACCUUUGAGACAACUAGUUUGUGCUUCUGAAGAUAGUUUUUUAACAUCUUUGAGAACAGAUUUUUUCAACAGAAUGGAGGAAAGUCGCCGAUAUGUUCCUUAAAAAGAAUACAAUCCCAUCUGAAAAGUGGUAAAUAACAUUUUAGACAUUUUAACAAUCUCAAUUCUGUCUUGCUGCCUAAAUGUGUGCAUGCUCAUACCAACUUGAAGCCAUAGACGUUCAUCUAGCUCUCCAUGAGCACAUUUAGGAAACAACUCAUCUGGAUGGUUUUCAUGCUUGUUUGUAAUGUGCCUAGCAAUGGAUUUCCAUUUCGCAAUCGUCGUCUCAUGUUUAGCGAUUUUGCAACUGUUGCGUUCAAGGUGAAUGCAGAAUCUGCGAAAUGCAUUGAACAUAGCACAGAGUACUGCUGAGGAACGAAUUUUGGCCUAUGUCUCCUAACAAAUUUCGUCCAUUUAUUCAGCCUCUCCUUGUCAUUCAUGGGAAACGAUGUACUGCGACACCCUCUGUGUGUUGACUGUUUGUACAACUUUUCCGUUGGGCCAACCAGCAACACAAUAUUGUCCUCCUCGACGAUUUUUGCAGAAUUUUGCCUACUCGCCAUAUUUUAACUUGCGGUGUAUCGUUACGUUUGACUAACUUAAUAAAAAUUAUUCUCCUUA